AACGCAUCUUGCACCCCUUGGUAUUCCGAGGGGUACACCUGUUUGAGUGUCGUGAAUUCCUCCACCCUUAGGCUUCUGUGGCCUCUGGGCUGGGAUUUGGGGGUCUUGCGGGUCCUUCUCAGGGUCCGCUCCCCUUGAAUGCAUUAGUGAAGACCUCACGCGGCCUUGGUGUGAUAGUUAUCUACGCCAUGGCCUGCUUCGCUCCGGCGGGCCUUUGCUCCGAACCGUCUUCGGACAGCACUAUUCGAACUUGACCUCAAAUCAGGUGGGACUACCCGCUGAACUUAA
rnacentral:misc_RNA from 1 species